UUUUUUUAUCUUAGCGGGGCUAAUGCUUCAGCUUCUCUUUUAAGAUUGGCUGCUGCUCCUAUGCAUAAUAUAAUUAAAACAAACGAGGGGAGGAUUUGUCUCUCCCCCCCCCAGCAUCAACAGAGGUUAAUGCGAAUAUUUAGCAAAGCUUUGCUCAGUUUGGGCGUUCAGACGAUUGCUGCCUGAACUCAGGUUCCCUUUCACUUAACCAGCCCAGCUGGCUCCUGGUGUAGUUUGCUCCAGACGGAACGCCGUGCGCCUCAAAUGAACGGGCCUUUGUUGUCCUUUCGGUCAGCCAGACCUAGUCUGUGGCUUGAGGUGUUGUUUUCAAGCUGGAGUGGAAAAACAGGAGCAGCCUGGGCGGAACUGCAGGAGUCCAGCAUUUCGGAAUGGACUCGAGGGAAGUCCGAGGCAGGGCGUCCUUCAGCAAAGGCUCUCACUGAGCUGCAGGUCAAGGUUCAGCAGUCCUCAGAUGGUCCUCAGCUAUGGAUGCCGGGACGGCUUCUUCUGAACACAGAUUAGAGCCCUCCAAGUGCAAGGCGCUGGGCAUGACGUAGGCUCGAUGGCUGCUCUGGGACCGGCAGUCCUUUUGGUCCACAUGCUUCCAGGCCGCAUAUGGAGUUCUUGGGAGCCUUCUAACUUCCGUUUUUCUUUUUUUCUUUCAAAAAGGAACCCAAGCAGGGGAAAAGAUGUUAUGAUUUUGUGCGUGUGUGCGUGUGUCAGAGAGCAGUCUGGGAGCAUAGAUGUGCACUCUUUUGCAGAUCUUUAUUUUUGCUUGCAGAAUUCUAACAGAGGGAACCGUAAGAACUACUGUCCAACGGGGGGGGGGAGCCCACCUUUUAUGGGACCCUAUUUCUGGUUUAUUUAACUAUGAAAGAAGUGGCAGAUGGCUUUAAAGUGCAAUUAUUUAUUUAUUUUAGCCAAAGAAAAAGAGUAAAGCAGGAAUAUAAUGAAAUUUGAUUCAUUGUGGUGAGGUGUUUUUUUUUAAUGCGUGAUACAAAAGCACUCUCUCCCCUAAAAUAAAAAGCCCUGUGCAAAGGGAUCUUACUCAUGUUUACUCAGAGGCAAAUUCUACUAACGAUUUCUUUACUUAUAUGCGACUUUUCUACUCCAGGUGACCUCCCUCCCCACAAUCCGCUCCCAAAUUCAGUAAUGGACUGCUUUUAAGUCGAUUCUGACUUGUGGCGACCCUAUGAAUAAGGGUUUUCAUGGUAAGCUGUAUUCAGAGGGGGUUGCCAUUGCCUCCCUCUGAGGCUGAGAGGCAGUGACUGGUCCAAGAUCACCCAAUGAGCUUCAUGGCUGUGUGGGGAUUCGAACCCUUGUCUCCCAGGUCGUAGUCCAACACCACUACACCACACUGGCACUCCCCAAAUACAAUAAAAAUACCAAUAAAAGGAUGACUAAGACUUACUCCCAAGUCGAAGCAUCCAUAGGGCAGCAGGUAUCGUGUGGCCAUUAUCACCUUAUCCUGGGCUCUCAUUCUAAUCUCAUUCUAUUUGCCGCCCAAGGCUCCUUCUGGGAGGUAGGGUGGGAUAUAAAUUUAAUAAAUAUAUAUAUAUAUAUAUAAAUACACAAAUAAUAAACUAUACACAUCCUCAUGUGAAGUUGUCUCCAUAUUUUUUUGCACCCAGUCUUCUUUUAGGCAAUCGCAAGUCAACAACCCAGUGAAAGACCCCUUGCAUUUAAAAAACGAACAACGCUCGGAUCCGAAACACUUUGCUUUAGAAGAUAAUACUAUCUUUCUCUUCCCCAUACCAUCUCCAGUCUAUGGGUUCCCAUCCAUAUUGGGGAUUCUAAGGCAUAAUUCCUUAGAAUCCACAUUAAAACCAGUAGGAUGAUAGCAUAGGCUAUGAGUGUUUAGGAUUGGGCUGCAGGUAUGCUCUUUAAUCCCAAACAGGUUUCUUUGGAAGUAAAUCCCGGUAAAAUAACAUCAAGUGCUCUAGUUUUAAACGGCUUUAAGAUCAAUUUCUUCGUCUUAGCUUAUGGAUCUUACCAGGACGUUCUUAUGCUGAGACAGAUAAAGCUCAGAUAAAGUAAGGCGAGUAAAUAGUUGCAAGGUGGAACCUAAACUUCGUGCAUCCUACUCCUUUAAAUUUUUUCUCCCUGUUGCCAUCAUGUGAUACUUUGUUUGCUAAGAUAUUUUCUACACCGCCUUCCAUUGCAACAGCAAUAUCUUCCCGCCCCCAGCCAUAGAACACCUUUCCUUAGAAAUACAUGCCAUGGAUUUCAACAUAUACAGGCAAAUCGCUGUGUUUAUCUAAACAUGGACUCCUUCAUGAGAAUUUGCAAUGCCCAUGGAGAGAGAUCUUUCUAGGGAAAGGUCAUCAUGAUGAUAUAUUUCUUAUAGUUAUGUAUUUAUAUACCGCUCUUCUUUCGGAUGUAUUCCAUUCGUUUCAAACGCAGCUCCUUUGAAUGGCAGUUCCCAUUCAAAGGACUCUCGAUUUACUUCGGAUCACAGCCAACGCCCAGCUCAUCUGCAGGGUUCCAUUUAAAAGCCGCCCUGUGACUCUCGCGGGUUUGCGGUUUGUGUCUCCUAUUAAACCGAUUAGGAGGCGCAAUCCAGGAUAAAUGGUUGGCCUAAAACGCCGCAGAAAGGAGUUCCAUUGAAAUCAUACGGAAAUACCCCCAAGUAAGCGUGUGUGUGUUUAGGGCGGGGGGGGGGGAAGGGUGUCAGGCUAUAGUUCGACAGGUUUAUUCUUAGGGGCUGGGAUCAUCUUUCCACCAAACUUUCUUCUUUUUCUUCAGAUGAGUAAUUUAUGCGGCAAUCUGGGAGACUUGGCCAGCUGACAUCUGGCUGGCUGCUUCUCCCCCCUCCUCUCUCUCCCUCUCCCCCUCCCCGCUCCCUCCCCCCACCAGAAGUUCUAGUUAAACAAAUCUAGCAGGGGAGUAUAGAGAAGACUUGUUUGUGGGUGGGUGGUAUAAAGUGGCAGGGUUGGGCCGCUUCAGUGCGCCGUCUAGGAAGCCAGAGCGCUUCUAGGCUCUUCAGUCAUUUCCCAAGGUUACGAUUCGAGAAGCCAGAGGCCUGUUGACGGAAGGAACGCCCAGGCGAGCCGCAGAUUCCAGAUGCAAGGCAACAAACACCGCUCUCAGGCCCCGCCGUCAAGCUCAGCGUUACUAUAGCUCGAUCGGCGGUCAUUUCUGCCCUAGGCCAGAAUCCUAGGAGGACACUCGCUCGAGGGGCUUUUGCUUCCCACGUCCGCCCCCUCUUUGGGUGCCUACAACUCUGCCGAUGGACAUCGUGUUUAAACAGUUGUUGCUCUUUCCUCUCCCUCCUGUAAUGUUCCCCCAACCAACCACCACCCUAACCACCCACCACCCACAGGUUGUAUACUUUUGUCUUGACCAUUUUUAAAGGUCAAAAAGCAAACAUCUCUGGGGGAUCUUGGUUCCUUUCUGUUCUGCCUUGUGUACGAGUGUGCCAAGGUCACCAGACCGAUAGCGAAAAAUCGACAGUUAACCAGAGGAUUACUUGUGACCUUUGUUGCUAUUCCCUGCCCUCUUUAGACAUAUAAAAUCAGGAUUUAGAUGAAGGUGAUGGACUUGGAUGUAAGGCUGUCAACACUUCUGAUCAUUUACUUGGAAGAAACUAGCGUUUUGCGCGGGCAUGAACUGCUUUCAAGCCUGGCAUAGGGCUAAGUCUAGGUGAAAGCAAUAGAUUGUGUCCAGUGUUAGUCCUGCUCCGAGUCGAUCGGUUGGAAUUAAUGGACCUGAAUUAGUCAUGUCCGUUCACUUCAGUGGGUCUACACCGCGCAGGACUAACUUGGAUACAACCCAGCGGUCUUGAAGCAUGUUCUUAAGGCAACAAUUCUAAGCACACUUACUGGGGAGUAAUCUCUGCUGAACACAGUGGAACUGACCUCUGCGUAAAUAUGCCUAAGAUUGCAGUACAGUAUAAGAUUAUUCACUAAAAAAAAUAAUAUCCCGAUUUUAUAUUCGUUAAGGCUUGGCCUCAGGUUAGGCUGAACAUAGGUACAAGCUGCCUCUACUGCUGUACAAAUGUUUGUGUGAAAGAGUGUACACUUUUAAAUUUUUAUGCAACUUGUUUUUUAUGUUUGCUUUUUUGGCAUUUUAAUGAAUAUUUUAGAUUGGCUUUUACACCCUGGGAUCCUUUGGGAGGAAAGGCAGGGCACAAAUUUAAUACAUUUAAUAAAUAAAUAAGCAAACCCACUUAGAGGUCUUUUGGUUUGGAUAAGCAGUAUACAUAUUGUUAAACAAAUGAACAAAGCAAACUUGAUGGUUAGAACAGCUCAGCUGUUGUAUCCGCAGGCAGCAAGAUUGUACCCUGGUUGAAACUUAAAUGUGAAUAACUGGACAAGUGAGCAUCUCAACUGUCUGCAUGCACAGGUGUACAGAUUAUACACUUGUUUAAUGUAACAUGCAUAUACCCCUCUGUUGAUGCAUGUUUGAUUGUUGAUGUUUUUAUUGUUAAAUCUUUUGGGGAAUGUUUCAUGGG